rnacentral:rRNA from 1 species
UACGUAGGGUGCAAGCGUUGUCCGGAAUUAUUGGGCGUAAAGAGCUCGUAGGCGGUCUGUCGCGUCGGAUGUGAAAACCCAGGGCUCAACCUGGGCCUGCAUUCGAUACGGGCAGACUAGAGUUCGGUAGGGGAGACUGGAAUUCCUGGUGUAGCGGUGAAAUGCGCAGAUAUCAGGAGGAACACCGGUGGCGAAGGCGGGUCUCUGGGCCGAAACUGACGCUGAGGAGCGAAAGCGUGGGGAGCAAACAGGAUUAGAACCUCCCGUAGUCAGUCCAAGACC